AAGUUUUGGAGGUGAACUAUUCUUUAUUAAUGAGGUUAUUUGUUUUUCAAGUGUUGUACUUGUGUUUUCCAGGUUUACUGGUUCAGCUGCUGCAGCCUGGACAGAAAUGCCAGCUCUCACCUUACAAACCAAACAGGUAUGUGUCCUAAAGAUUUACCCAGUCUGAAAAUGUGUUGACGAGCUGAAUUAGUAAUGUUAAUAGCAGUGCUAUUGCUUAGGUCUUAUACUUAAGUAUAAUUAAAAGUACAAGUUAAAACCCUGCUUUCAAAAAUUUACUUAGGUGAGUUAUUAUGCAGUUCUCAGUAAUAUACACGAUCCCUCCAGUGAUUAGUUGACAAACAAUUUAUAUAAAAAGUUAAGAUUUAAGAUAAUCAUUUUAGUAAAAUUUUCCCCAAAUAUUUAUUGUUAUUAAUUCUUAAAGAUGUGAUGCUUUUUCUUGUCAUAUGCGACAGGUAACAGCCCAUUUUCUGAGACACUCUUCUAAUGUUUGGAGAAUGUUCUGGUUUAGCUGUAAUGUUGAAUAUUUAUGUGUGUUUUCAUGGUUAAACUGUUGUUGAAAAAUAGGUUAUAGUGUAUUGAACUUUUUCCUUCGUAUAUCUCUCUUUUUAUGUCCUCCUGGUGUCACCACUUCAUCCAUGAUGAGAGAGUCUUCGUACAAUGAAGAAGUUCUUCGAAACCAGGACUGAGGCCUCCAGGAUUCAAACUUCAACCAUUAAAGCACAGACAGAAGAGACAGAUGUGAAGACAUUUUCAGAAGGUCUUCAGCCGCUGUUGUCUUCUACUCCUGCAGAGAAGAGACAAGAACACACAUUAAUCAAAGUAUUUUUCUAUACUGAUGUUUUUCUGUGCCAUACUAUAUACUGUGACAAUUUGUCGGUAUUCGACAAAGGAACCAUCUUACCUUUGCUUUCCACAAACACCUCUGCACAAUGUUAGUGGGUUGGGUUAAAUUUUCAUUUUGGUAUUUUGUCAUUUCAAACAGUGCAAUGUCAGUACUCAAAUGCAAUCUAUUACUAUGUACAUAAUUCUGUUUAUACUGUUCAUAUUGUUAUCUUCUCAUAUAUAAUGCCCUUUCCUAUUUUUGCUGUUGUGACACUGAUAAAUGAUUAUCUUACUCAAAUAAAUACUU